rnacentral:rRNA from 1 species
CAAUAGCGUAUAUUAAAGUUGUUGCAGUUAAAAAGCUCGUAGUUGGAUUUCUGGCUGGGCGCCGAUGUGACACAAAGUGCUCACAAGGCACCGGCCAUCCUUCUGUAAACUAGGUUAGUCUUUGAUUAGACUGCUUAGGGAUCAGAUAAUUUACCUUGAGAAAAUUAGAGUGUUUCAGGCAGGCUUAGCCGGAAUACAUUAGCAUGGAAUAAUGGAAUAGGACUAUGGUCUCGUUGUUGGUUUGAGGGAUCGCAGUAAUGAUUAAUAGGGAUAGUUGGGGGCAUUAGUAUUUAUUAGCUAGAGGUGGAAUUCUCUAAUUUAAUAAAGACUAACUUAUGCGAAAGCAUUUGCCAAGGAUGUUUNCAUUAA